UGAGGGAAUAUUGGGUCAAUGGACGGAAGUCUGAACCAGCCAAGUCGCGUGAAGGAAGACGGUUCUAUGGAUUGUAAACUUCUUUUGCCUGAGGGUAAAACGCGGUACGCGUACCGCCUUGUAAGUAUCAGGUGAAUAAGCAUCGGCUAACUCCGUGCCAGCAGCCGCGGUAAUACGGAGGAUGCGAGCGUUAUCCGGAUUUAUUGGGUUUAAAGGGUGCGCAGGCGGCGCGCCAAGUCAGCGGUCAAAGUUCCGGGCUCAACCCGGUGUCGCCGUUGAAACUGGCGUGCUCGAGUGCGUGCGAGGAAGGCGGAAUGCGUUGUGUAGCGGUGAAAUGCAUAGAUAUGACGCAGAACUCCGAUUGCGAAGGCAGCUUUCCAGCGCGCUACUGACGCUGAGGCACGAAAGCGUGGGGAUCGAACAGGAUUAGAUACCCUGGUAGU
rnacentral:rRNA from 1 species